ensembl:snoRNA Gm23043 predicted gene, 23043
GCUCUUGUUAUAUCCACAUGUGUGUAAGUAGGUGGAAGAAAGCAGAGAGGUUAUAUCUAUACUCAGGAUUCUGACCUGUGAACGUCUACACGAUUAGAAGCACAACUCU